rnacentral:tRNA from 4 species
GGAAGUGUGCCUGAAAGAGGACCUCCUGGAGGAGGGUUCAAACCCCCUCGCUUCCU